GGGUAGGGGAGCGUCGUGUGCCGGGUGAAGCAGCCGUGGAAGCGAGUUGUGGACGGUUCACGAGUGAGAAUGCAGGCAUGAGUAGCGAUACAUGCGUGGGAAACGUGUGCGCCGAUUGACUAAGGGUUCCUGGGUCAAGCUGAUCUGCCCAGGGUAAGUCGGGACCUAAGGCGAGGCCGACAGGCGUAGUCGAUGGAGAACCGGUUGAUAUUCCGGUACCCGCUAUGCAGCGUCAGACAUCGAAUCAGGUGAUGCUAAGUCCGUGAAGCCCCUUGUUUUCUUCGGAAGACGGGUGUGGUGGAGCCGACGGUCCGAGCUUGUAGUAGGUGAGUGAUGGGGUGACGCAGUGAGGUAGUCCAGCCCGGGCGAUGGUUGUCCCGGGGUAAGGGUGUAGCCCGAGGAGCAGGGAAAUCCGUUCCUCGUUACAGGGGUGAGACCUGAUGCCGAGCCGUUUGUGGUGAAGUGGAUGAUCCUGUGCUGUCGAGAAAAGCCUCUAGCGAGUUGUGUGGCGGCCCGUACCCUAAACCGACUCAGGUGGUCUGGUAGAGAAUACCGAGGCGUUCGGGUGAACUAUGGUUAAGGAACUCGGCAAAAUGCCCCCGUAACUUCGGGAGAAGGGGGGCCAUGUCUGGUGAGGGCACGUGCUGUC
rnacentral:rRNA from 1 species